rnacentral:rRNA from 1 species
GGACUACUGGGGUUUCUAAUCCUGUUCGCUCCCCACGCUUUCGCUCCUCAGCGUCAGAACAGGCCCAGAGAACCGCCUUCGCCACCGGUGUUCCUCCCGGUAUCUGCGCAUUUCACCGCUACACCGGGAAUUCCGUUCUCCCCUGCCUGCCUCAAGCCCGCCCGUAUCCACUGCACGCCCGGGGUUGAGCCCCGGGAUUUCACAGCGGACGCAACAGGCCGCCUACGAGCUCUUUACGCCCAAUAAAUCCGGACAACGCUCGCGCCCUACGUAUUACCGCGGCUGCUGGCAC